rnacentral:rRNA from 1 species
GCCAGCGGUAAGGCCUUUCGGGGUACACGAGCGGCGAACGGGUGAGUAACACGUGGGUGAUCUGCCCUGCACUUCGGGAUAAGCCUGGGAAACUGGGUCUAAUACCGGAUAUGACCUCAGGUUGCAUGACUUGGGGUGGAAAGAUUUAUCGGUGCAGGAUGGGCCCGCGGCCUAUCAGCUUGUUGGUGGGGUAAUGGCCUACCAAGGCGACGACGGGUAGCCGACCUGAGAGGGUGACCGGCCACACUGGGACUGAGACACGGCCCAGACUCCUACGGGAGGCAGCAGUGGGGAAUAUUGCACAAUGGGCGAAAGCCUGAUGCAGCGACGCCGCGUGAGGGAUGACGGCCUUCGGGUUGUAAACCUCUUUCAGCAGGGACGAAGCGCAAGUGACGGUACCUGCAGAAGAAGCACCGGCUAACUACGUGCCAGCAGCCGCGGUAAUACGUAGGGUGCAAGCGUUGUCCGGAAUUACUGGGCGUAAAGAGUUCGUAGGCGGUUUGUCGCGUCGUUUGUGAAAACCAGCAGCUCAACUGCUGGCUUGCAGGCGAUACGGGCAGACUUGAGUACUGCAGGGGAGACUGGAAUUCCUGGUGUAGCGGUGAAAUGCGCAGAUAUCAGGAGGAACACCGGUGGCGAAGGCGGGUCUCUGGGCAGUAACUGACGCUGAGGAACGAAAGCGUGGGUAGCGAACAGGAUUAGAUACCCUGGUAGUCCACG